AGUACAAUUGCUAGAUCAUAUGAUAAGUGUGUGUUUAGUUUUGUGAGAAACUGCCAAAUUGUUUUCCAAAGAGGCUGUACCCUUUUGCAUUUCCACCAGCAAU
rnacentral:pre_miRNA from 1 species